rnacentral:lncRNA from 1 species
AGAAAUAUUGAAUUAAACUAAAUAAUCGUAAAGAAAGUUAGAGAAUGAACCUCAACUGAAAAGAACGAUUUUCCAUUGAAUCAAGCAUCCGGCAAAACUCAUACAAACGAUCACUUAUGACUCGCACCAGAAAUCCGAUGACAGAGCCUAGGCCUAAAAUCGAUUUGAGACCAGAAUCUUGAAAUUGAAAUAGAACUAGAAACCUCGAACGAAACCUCGUUGGCAACCAAAAAUGGGCGGCGAACUCUCGAACGAACCUGUAACUCUCUAUGGCCAGUCAAGGUCGUUUGUUGUGGAGGCUGCCGGAUUUGGCUCUUCCGUAUCACCGGCUGAUUUUUAUUGACUUUGAACGAAUUUCGUUCAGAAAUAUUCUACCAUUUUUCAAUGCAUAGAAUCUUCUAAUGAGUCUUGAAAAUAUAUAAGAUGGGGUGUCGCAAGAGUUAGAGUUGAGGAUGGGUCUGCUUUAGCUUAGAAAUUCUUUAUGGAUUGGGGUCAGUUGCCCCUUGGAAUUUUUUUGAGCGUUUCUCCCUUUUUUUGAGUCUUCAAUCUAGCCUUUUUCCUAGUUGCUAAUGGAGUUAUUUUUUGUUGCUCAAGAACCAGCCAUGAAAAUGGCUUUUGAAGAAGAAAGAGAAUAUGGGGAGGGGAGGUUCGUUCUUAGUGAAAUG